GUCACUGAGUGUCUGUCCCAGGGAUUGAUGAGAGUGUCCUGCUCCUCUGAGGGAGGGGACAGUCCUCAGUACAGCUGGACUCUGGGUGGACGCACACUGACACACACUGAGCUCCUCUCUGGAAAUCAUGAGACUAACAACAUCACUCUGAAACAACACGUCUCAGGACGUCUGGUCUGCUCAGUCAGGAAUCACAUCAGUAGUGUCUCCAAAGAGGAGACGAUAUCUACCUGUAAAGAUCCCUCCCUGCUCAUAUGUGGUUUGCUCUUCGCUGUGGCAGUUCUUUCAGUGGUUGGGAUUGCCAUGUUUUUUCAUUUGAAGAUGAGGAAAUACAAGAAAACCAAAGUGCCUGCCACACCACGAGCAAUGGAGUAUUCAGAGAACUCCUUUUCGGUGGUUGAAUUGAGGAGUUGAUCUGAUCAUUAACAUUUUGGUUAUGCAGUUCAUCUCUACUUCUAAGAUCACAGGUGGAGACCUCAGACAUUUUCACCUUGUCACAUCACUGGUUGUUGACUUAAUGAAAGUGAUAUCAUGACAUCUGUAACAGAGAAUGAAUCAAAGCAAAAGGACACAUGAAACACGUGAAAAUGAUCAGUGGAGUCCCACAUACUACCUGCCUAUUAUCAGAAGACUUUUGUCGCUAAUUUAAAUAGUAUAUUAACAAUAUUAAGUGUUGAAUUAAGUGUUACAGUACAAUCACAGACACUUUAGCGCUAAAUGUAUUAGUAACAACUUUCAGCUGUAAGAAUCAGUGAAUCAGUUUAUCCAGAAGCAAAAUGCGUAAUUAAAGUGUAAAUAAAGCUUGUAUUGUCACAUUAGAAAUGCAACUUGUGAUGUUAUUUGGAAAUUAGUUUAAUGUAGAUUUUCAUGUUGUUUUUUCUCACUGCUAUAUUGCAAUUGUUGUUUUUUUUUCACUUUUUAAAAAUGUAUAAACAUUAUAUAUAUGAUGUGUUUUGUAUAUUCAUUAAUGUAACUGAAGUGUUUGACUUAGCCAAGUGAAUGAUGUAAUUCAUUAUUUUGUUUUUCACUGGAUCAUAUUUGGGAAAAAGUUCUGUUUCACUUCCAUGUUUAUAAACAUCACUGAUGUAAACAAACUUUUAAAAGAUUUUAACAUUAAAAGCUUAAAUUUA